AAACCUCAGAGAAGAAGGGACCUUACACCUAUCGACUUUCUGAUGGGUGGGUAUGGAAUGCUUCUUAUCUUGCACCUGCCUAUGCACCAAGAGGAGAUUAUG